rnacentral:rRNA from 1 species
UAAGGAAUAUUGCUCAAUGGGAGAAAUCCUGAAGCAGCCACGCCGCGUGGAGGAUGAAGGGUCUAUGACUUGUAAACUCCUGUAAAGAAGGAAAAAAUUCCCAUUAGAUGGGAGAUGAUGGUACUUCUGGAGUAAGCCCCGGCUAACUACGCGCCAGCAGCCGCGGUAAUACGUAGGGGGCAAGCGUUGUCCGGAUUUACUGGGUGUAAUGGGUGCUCAGGCGGAUUUGUAAGUCAGAGGUGAAAUCUUACAGCUUAACUGUGAAACUGCCUUUGAUACUGCAAGCCUAGAGUAUGGAAGAGAGCGAUGGAAUAUCUGGUGUAGCAGUGAAAUGCGUAGAUAUCAGAUAGAACACCAAUGGCGAAGGCAGUCACUUGGUCCAUUACUGACGCUAAAGCACGAAAGCGUGGG